UGGGAGUUGUCUAUUAUAUAGAGAAGGUUGUUGAAACAAAGGAAACGCUGCCCAAUUUUCGUUAGCCCUUAGUUGUUUUAGUUGAGGCCUAAGUAUGUUCCCGGCUAUCUAAUCUUCGUAUGAAUUCUCUUGAAUGUAGAAUCGUCAGCUUGGAGGGAGAACGCUAGUUGUUGAGGAGACGUGAAGGUAUACAGGGAGACGGACCGGAUUCCUAGGAGCCUGUUCAGCAUAUAUA